UAUCUCUUAGAUUUAAUUUUAUUUUAAUUAGAAAAAAUAUAUUUUAUAAGUUAUUAUAUUUAAAUCCUGUAUAAUGAAAAUUAAGUGCGUUGGAUUAUUCUUGUAAUGCCGAUAAUUUUUUUUAAUUUUAAUUUCAUUAAUUGUCGGGAGCAAUUUGAUAAAUUAAUAUUUUUUAUGAAUAAAUGAGUAUCAUUUAAUUUAAUAUCUUUAAAUAAUUAUAUUAUAUUAAUUUAUGAGUUUAAAUAAUUAAAUUAUAAUUUUAUUAAGUUGAAUUAUUUUGACUGAUUAUUAUAUAAGUUUACAUAUAUUAUAUAAGUGUAAUUUAUUUAAACUGUAGAUGUUUUUAUAGCGUAAAUUAAGGUGGGGGAAUAGAAAAAAAAUUUAUAAAAAGAAGAGAAAGAAAAAAGUUUGGGACAUAUGCAGCCUGCCCCUCCCCCCAUCUUCUUCUCCUUUCUCCGCUGCAUACACUUUCCCACCACCAGUUUCUUCCUUCACCACCACAGCCACCAGUCCUCCCCCCUUCCUUUCCUUUCCCUCCAGUCGACACUGCCAUUCUCCCUUCCCUAUCGCUGGAAAACGCAGCAGCAGCAGUAGGAGGCAUCAAUCUUCGGUUGCCACCUCUAGAACAACCUCUUGCCGACCUUAUUUUGAAAAUAUGACUUCGGAAACGGACUCCCAACCACCGGAAACCUUAAGAACAACCCUUCCCUCUAUUUUUUCGUCGCAGGAAGCUCUAUCCAAGACUCACCGGAGCUGAAGCUUUUCGGCUUCCGGUGAGAUUCCAGCAAAGAUAUUUAUAUAUGUGGUCUCUGCGCAUCUCAAGCUUCGCGCGAUGGCACUUCUGAAUUCGAAUUUCGAUACUGUUGACUGAACCGGUUUUCGGACUCGGAUAUUUCCCAGACUCAUAGAAUCUUAGAUUUUUAGCUCGAAUGAGGCAGCAGUAAAACAUGCCACCUGAUGGGUUGCAUCAUGACCGUGUGCGUACCGAUAUUUGUGAGAGAUAAAUAGUAAAAGAUUAUUUUUGAGAUUUGCCCUGAUUGAGUACAACUCUCUAGGAUGUGAGAAUUUGAUUGCCAGAAGAAAGGUCACUGAUCGAGCGUUGCUCUUUAGGCGUCGGCUUUAUUGGGAAUCAAGUGACCGGACUGGAUUUAAGGACCCUGGUUAAGCUUCGCUCUCUGGACGCCAGUCCUAUUGGAAUAAGAGAGCCGAAAGACUGCUAAUAUUGAGAUUAAGGUUCUGUUGAGGUACUCGUCUCAUAACGUUUAAAUUGUAUUAUUCUGAAUCAUGGCAUGACACGUGUUUUAACAUGAUAUUAUAUUUUAUUCUUAUUAAAUAAAUAUUUGAUUAAGAUGGUUGUAUUUA